rnacentral:rRNA from 1 species
AUUGAACGCUGGCGGCAUGCCUUACACAUGCAAGUCGAACGGCAGCGCGGGGCAACCUGGCGGCGAGUGGCGAACGGGUGAGUAAUAUAUCGGAACAUACCCUAGAGUGGGGGAUAACGUAGCGAAAGUUACGCUAAUACCGCAUACGCACUAAGGUGGAAAGUGGGGGAUUCGCAAGAACCUCAUGCUCAUGGAGUGGCCGAUAUCUGAUUAGCUAGUUGGUGAGGUAAAGGCUCACCAAGGCGACGAUCAGUAGCUGGUUUGAGAGAACGACCAGCCACACUGGAACUGAGACACGGUCCAGACUCCUACGGGAGGCAGCAGUGGGGAAUUUUGGGACAAUGGGGGCAACCCUGAUCCAGCAAUGCCGCGUGAGUGAAGAAGGCCUUCGGUGUAAAGCUCUUUGUUCAGGGAAGAAACGGUGAGUUCUAAUACAGAUUGCUAAUGACGGUACCUG